UACGUAGGGGGCAAGCGUUGUCCGGAAUCAUUGGGCGUAAAGAGCGUGUAGGCGGCCAGAAAAGUCCGCUGUGAAAACUCGAGGCUCAACUUCGGGCUGUCGGUGGAAACUUUCUGGCUAGAGUCCGGAAGAGGAGAAUGGAAUUCCUGGUGUAGCGGUGAAAUGCGCAGAUAUCAGGAAGAACACCCGUGGCGAAGGCGGUUCUCUGGGACGGUACUGACGCUGAGACGCGAAAGCGUGGGGAGCAAACAGG
rnacentral:rRNA from 1 species